GUGUCCAAUAGUGAUAAAAUUAUAUUUGAUUAAAAGAUAGGAUUCAAUAACCAAGCUUUUAUGCAAAUAGCUUUGUACUCCACUUUGCCACAAUAUGCAUAUAUUUGGUAGGCUCUGGUAUAACUCCUAGUGAAUCUUGCCAAUACAUUCAAUGUAUUGACCCUAGUGGCUGCAUCGUUUAAUGAUGCAGAAAGCUCCGACGACGAGUAAGAUGUACGUUCUGCAUGUUUGGGUUACGGGUUUACAUUCCAACACGCUCUCACCAUGGUGUUGAUGUGCCCUUGUAUCUUUCGUUUUCCGCUGCUAAACAGUUGUUUUAUUUCCAGCUAACCUAUGAGGUUAUGCGAGUUGUAAGUACCUUAUAAAUUCUGGAUGAUUCGUUGUAAUAUUGAGACCUUUGUUUUCUGAUAUUACAUCUUGAAACUGUGUGUGCUAGUGAGUCGAUCCAGGGACUAGCACUAAAGCAUAGAGAUCAAACCCGUAUACGGGGCGGUCGCUUCAGCGGGCGCGCGCACGGGCGGCUCGGUUGGUCGGGCUGGCUUGGCCGGUUCCGGGCCGGUUCGGCCCAAGCGGUCGGACCGGUCCGGUUCACCCUUUUUUUUUCUUUUUUUUCCCUUUUUCUUAUUUCUUUGGUAUCUUUUCAUUUUGAACUCCAAAUUGAUCCAAAUAAAUUCCAGAAAAUUUGCAAAAUCAUGUUUUAUCAUGAUACAACUUUUGGGAGUAGUUUUUCCUCAAAAUAAAAUAUAUAAAAAUACAUUUACCCUAUAAAUGCCUUUAGGGCUAUAUAUCUAUUUUAAAUAAAAUACUUUUUCAACUCCAAAUAAUUAUCCAAAAAUUAUAGGAUAGCUUAUAUAUGCAAUAAACCCCUUUUAUACAUAAACCCUAUUGGUUUGAAAAUCUAAAGCUUAAAUGGGUGUAAACAAAGUCUUUUAAAGCCUUUUGAGAUUCAAAUUUGAAUUCAAAUAUGCAAUUGUGGCAUGAUGCUCAUGGAUGCAAUGCACAUGUAAAAGUUUGAAAUUUUGGGAUGUUACAGACCUAACCCCCUUAAGAUGAAUCUCGUCCUCGAGAUUCAGUGUGGCUAGCAAAGAGGUGUGGGUGGUCUUCUCGAAGAUCAUCUUCGCGUUCCCAAGUGGCUUCUUCUUCAGUGUGAUGGUCCCACUGAACUUUGCAGAACUUGAUAGUCUUGGAUCGGGUCUGUCUCUCAGCUGUAUCCAAGAUCCUGACCGGUUUCUCCUCAUAGGUGAGGUCACUCUGUAACUGGACUUCCUCAAGUGGAAUUGUAUCCCUCAGGGGUGUGUCGACCAUCUCGGGGUGACACUUCUUCAGUUGUGAUACGUGGAAGACGUUGUGGACAUUGGACAGUGCUUCCUGUAAAUCCAACUUGUAGGCUACCUCUCCUUGUCGCGACAAGAUCUUGAAAGGUCCAAUGAAACGGGGUGCUAACUUUCCUUUUAUGCCAAA
rnacentral:lncRNA from 1 species